rnacentral:rRNA from 1 species
GACGAACGCUGGCGGCGUGCUUAACACAUGCAAGUCGAACGGAAAGGCCCUGCUUGCAGGGUACUCGAGUGGCGAACGAGUGAGUAACACGUGGGUGAUCUGCCCUGCACUUCGGGAUAAGCCUGGGAAACUGGGUCUAAUACCGGAUAGGAGCCAUUUUUAGUGUGAUGGUUGGAAAGUUUUUUCGGUGUAGGAUGAGCUCGCGGCCUAUCAGCUUGUUGGUGGGGUAAUGGCCUACCAAGGCGGCGACGGGUAGCCGGCCUGAGAGGGUGGACGGCCACAUUGGGACUGAGAUACGGCCCAGACUCCUACGGGAGGCAGCAGUGGGGAAUAUUGCACAAUGGGCGCAAGCCUGAUGCUGCGACGCCGCGUGGGGGAUGACGGCCUUCGGGUUGUAAACUCCUUUCGCUAGGGACGAAGCUUUUUGUGACGGUACCUAGAUAAGAAGCACCGGCUAACUACGUG